UACAGAGGUGGCAAGCGUUGUUCGGAAUUACUGGGCGUAAAGGGCGCGUAGGCGGCCUUCUAAGUCAGACGUGAAAUCCCCCGGCUUAACCUGGGGAAACUGCGUCUGAUACUGGGAGGCUUGAGUAUGGGAGAGGGAUGUAGAAUUCCAGGUGUAGCGGUGAAAUGCGUAGAUAUCUGGAGGAACACCGGUGGCGAAGGCGGCAUCCUGGACCGAGAUUGACGCUGAGGCGCGAAAAGCUAGGGGAGCAAACGGGG
rnacentral:rRNA from 1 species